GUUGUUCGCCUUGAUGAGGGCUACAACUUUGCUUAAUAUCCUUUCAACAAAAGAUGCGUAUUUACGAAUAUAGAUCUGCGCAUGCGCAGUACAUAACCUUCCAUAACUCGGGACCAAUGCGGCGGCUGGGGACGACACUAUCACCAUUGGAUUCAGCGUAAAAUUCUUAUUCAGAAAAUGAUUUCAUGGACAUUUUUCGUGACAUCAACUUUUCCGGGAAACUUUCAGCCAGAUAGAGC
rnacentral:lncRNA from 1 species